UAACUGUGGAAAGGUAUGUUGUAAAGUGUACACAGAAAGAAGUUUUUUGUCUUCUGGAGACAUAUUUAAGUCCCCUCUGUUUCCUUUGGUGCCAGAACCAUUACAAUUGAUUCACUGUUGUUCAGUUGAUAUCGAAUAACAAGUUAUAUACCCCAGGUCCUAAGAUACAGUUUCACAAGCUAAGAAUAAAAUAAACAGAAAAGGUGAACUGUAGCCCAGAGUUAUAUUUAGAGGCAGCUACACUUCCUUUAGAGAAAAUUACUUGCUCUGCCAGGCAUUUAAUACAAAUAAUCAUAUUAAUCAGCAACCUGUUCCUUCACAGGCAUAUGUCCUCCAGAAAACUGAGGUGAGAACAUCGAAUUAGAAUCCACAAUGCAUGUCAUCAGUGACAGAAUGAAAGCUCGUAAAGAGACCGAGGCUGAGCUCAAGAUCACACUAGGAAAUGACUGAUCCAGAAAAACGUCUUCAGUUGGCCAACUUCCAGACAGACACAUUAUUUGGGAAAGAAGAGUUUUUCAAAGAUCUAUUUGUCUAUGGGCCACAUCACAAUAACCUUUGCAUAUGAUGACUUUAAUUUGGGACACUUUUUAUCCAUGCAGCAUAAUUAAGAAUUUAUUUGAAAUACCUAUGUUAUAACCUGAAAUAAACUUGGCAAAUUACAAUUAUCCUGAAGUUUUAGUCCAUGAAUUCAAAUUGGCCUACUCCCAAAGCCUCUCCAUCCCAAUUCCUGGAGGACUUUUAAUAGCUAUUUUAGACAAGAGUUAGUUUGAGUCUACAUGGGGCUUCAUAUUGACUUAUUUAAUUGACUUGAUCAUUGAACUUAUGAAAAGAAUGGCUUGAUUGACUUGUUUGAGUAAAUUUGUGAAAAGUGAUUUCUUAGAAUUAACUGGCCAUACUGAUUUGAUUGUUCACCCAUAGAUACAUCUAUCCUUGAAUUUUUCAUUUUCCAAUUUGAGAAGAAAACUGCUCUUUAAGGCAGAGAAAAUAUUUUCAGGUAAAAUAUUUCAAGGGUUAUAUUUAUGACUGCAGAGCAGUAGAUCCUGACAAGAUUCCUUGACAAUUCUAUAAUUUGAAGUUGUCAACCUUUAUAAAUAUAAUAAAUGCAGUAUGUCUUAAUCCCCUUCUGCCUGAUGUUACCUAUAUAUACAUUCCAUGCAACAAAAGGAGGUUUUUCUCUAUAGAAUUCUAUCACAGUUUCUCUAAAACCUUAGGUAAUGUAGUCUGACUUAUAUAUUUAUUUAAAAAAAAAGAAAGAAAGAAAAUAAAUAAGGAAAUUAGAUAUGAGAGAGAAAGAAACAAUAGGAAAUAAUAGGAAAAAAGUUUAGAUUACAAUUUUUUAAGAAUAGUGAGUCUCAGCCUUGGCUGCAUAUUAGAAUCUCCUGAGGAAUAUUUGAAAAAUACUGAUACCUGGUCCUCAAGUCCAGAGAUAUUGAUUCAGUUGGUUGUGGUGGCUUUUUGGUCUUCAUCAGAAAUGUUUAAGUGGCAAUGAAGAACUAGCUGAACUUCUGGUCAUGGAGACAUUCUCUGCUCUGGACUUCCUGCUCUGAAAACACAACUCAAAUAAUCUCUGAAUUUGAGUGUGAUGGUGAAGUGAAGAUAGGAAUGGAGAAUAAAGAUCCAGUUCAUUCAUUCAUUCUUCAACUGGCCAACAAAUAUUUACAUAGUGUCUGUUCCUCAGCAGACACUGUAGUAAGAGUGAGGAUGCAAUUACAAACAGAACAGUUAAAGAAUUAUGGGGUCCUCUCUAAAAUCUUCCUUCUAGGCUUAGUGUUUCAACCUAUGUUAAUGUCAAGAUCAAUUGGGCUGGUUGGAUCGGAGAGACAGAGAAUGAAAUGAUCGUAAGAACCUCAUUAGUCUACUAGCUAAUUUUUCAUAAUGGAAUAAAAACAUUUUGAUACUUA